rnacentral:tRNA from 1 species
UCCAGCCUGGUGUAGUGGUUUGAGCAUUGGACUAUGGCUCUGGAAACCAGGGUUCGAAUCCCAGCUCAGCAG